UGCAAGUGAGAGAUAUAUAAACGGAUAAUAUAAAGGAUGCCAGCAGGCUUAUAUGAAAAUCUACAAAAUCGCUAGAAAGACUAAAAAAUAUUUUAAACCAUAGAAAUCGGUCUUACAACACGGAGGACACUCUGCUGGCCUGCGAGUGGAGGGUUGUUUAACCUCUAGGAAUUUGACAGAGAUGACUUCAGCUUUUCUGUAAACUAUAAAGGCCUGCUCGCUCAGUGACGGCGACAAACUGUCUAUUCCGGAGAGGAACUGACUAAGAUCUACGCUAAGCAAAGAACGCAUGAUUCCUACAAGGCGAAGACCCUUCACUUCACGCGUUCUCAAGAGAUCCUGGAGUUUCCUAUCUCUCCCUCCC